ACACAAGGAGUGUCUGAAACAGGAUCUACAUCGUAGCUGUAUAUAAAAAGAGGCAGAUCAAACUCCAGAAUCGACACAGAUUCCUGAAUACGGAGAGAAAUGAAUCCUGCUGUGUUUCUGUUGGUUUCCCUGUGCUGCUGCUGCUGCUGCUGUCUGUCUGCGGCUCAAGAAGAGAUCAAAAAGACUGAAAGUGAAGAUAGAAAAUGCCAGACAUCAGAAGGCUCAUGCUACCCUGACUUGUGCAAGCUGCUGAAAGACUUUGGUGUCAUGGAGGAGAAACUGCGAACCACGGUGGGAAAACUGGGAGUCAUGGAAACCCAGCUCAAAGUUAACGAGAAUCAACUUGAGGAACUGAAAAAUAAGGAGAGAAUGAAGGUGAUCUUUUCGGCUGCCCUUGGCGGGAAUGGGCACAUCGGGCCAAUCCACCACGACACAACCCUGAUCUUCAAAAAUGUCAUCACUAACAUCGGCAGUGCCUACAAUCCAAGUACAGGGGUAUUUGCUGCCCCUGUCGCAGGGGGUCUACUACUUCAAUUUCUUCUACCAUGCCGGAGGAAAUGAGGUUAAAUACAUUUCCUUGUUCAAGAAUGGACAGAGGAUGGUCACUUCCUCUGAUCACAAAUCUAGCGGCGAUGGAGCUGACAACGGGGCUAAUGCAGUCACUCUACAGCUGGAGGUGGGGGACCAGAUCUUCAUACGCCUAAUGGCUAACACUCACGUGUGGGACUCUGAAAACCACACGAUCUUCAAUGGGUUCCUGCUCAAACAAGUGUGAUGAAAUACAUUGGUAGCGCUGUCCUCUACUUUCUAACUUUGGUAAUAUUAUUAUUAUUAUUAUUGUGAACAGCUAAUCUUUCUCACAUACUGUAACUCCUGUAUCCUAAUUCAUAAUGUAAUCUAUAUAUCCAUCAUUAAUGUAUUCAACAUAGCCAUCUUAUUCAUCAUUAUCUAGUCUAUAUGUAUUCAGGUUGACAUUGUUGGUAAAAUACAUUGGUAGGCUAGCGCUAUCCUGUACUUUGUAGGUUGAGUGACAGCAUCUCCUAUCUUCUUUUGGUUUCUGACGUGAUUACUGUGUGUUGAUGUUGUUACACACUCUUGGUCGACACCAAGACAAAUCACCGUUGUUGAAAAGCAAUAAAGACUUUAAAGGAAAGGA